GCCGCCGCCGGGCUCCGCGCAGCUCGGCCGCCGGCUCCUCCUCUUCCCCGCUCAGGCCUCUUGUCUCCCACGAGUGAGAAGAUGCAGGGGCAAUGAGUGAGGAGCUGCGUGGAGGAGAAGGUGAGCACAGAGAUGGUCCCGUCAUCCCCCAGACACUCUCCUCAGAGACAAACCAGCAGAUGGGCAAUGGGCUGAGCGCAGCAAUCUCCUGGAAGAAGGAUGCUCCACACUGUGCGAGACCUGCACUAAAAUCUUCAGGAGGUUAUUGAUGCUUCAGGCGACAUUAAGUCCUGCUUGGUGCCCAGGGUGAGUCGCAGAGCACAAGCAGAGCUUGGACAGUGGCAGCAGCGCAGCCCCUGGGGCUGCGGAGGGGUGCAAACAGCAGCCUGUGAGGGGGAGGCUGUCAUUUAAGGAAGGCAGGAGCCGGCAGGAGUGUUUUGCUUGGGAUCCAUGUUUUGAGGAGCUGGAGGGAGCCUUGGCUCCUCACAUCAGAAGUGAAAAGGACAGACUCGUGUCAGUAGAAAGCUCUGGGUAGUGGUUGUGAUCUUUUGCCCUGAACUGAGAAACUCGCACAGGCCCCUGCUCCAGCCUGAGCAAGUACCUGGUUUUGUUGCUGGCUGGUUGUUCGGGCAAAGAGAGAGGAUGCAGAGCGUAAGAGUUAAGCCCUUACACCAUUAUUAUUCUGAAAAGCACUCAUUCUCUGCAUUUUUGCCAGAAAUGACAUGUUUAUUUAUGACUAGACAACUUCGUUUAGUGAGGAAAGUAAGGUGUCAGUCAGCUUUGUAGGCACUUGUCCCUCCCAAGAGGAGCUCCAGCAGUGAGUCAGCUGCAGCUUCCCGGCACACAGGCGGAACGGACUUGUUGCUUUGUGCCUUGUAGAAGCCAAGCCCGUGUGCCUCCUCCUCCAUGAAGCCAGCUGGCUGGUGCUUAGGCCUGUUUUUGUUUGCAGGGAUGUGCUGGAUGGGAGCAGUGCAGCCAGGCGAGCACAGAAACCCCAGUCCCUCCAGCCCGGUUUCCCGGCUCCAGCGCUCCCUCCAGACCCACCUCGGAUGGUCUGUGGUUCGUUUAGUGACUGGCUUGAACUUCAGGCCCGAAAGGGUGGAGGUUCCACCACCUUAACAGUAACCAAAUCCCAUCCACAACUGUAGUAGCAAUUUUAGACACUGUCUUGAAUGAAACCUUUUCCCACAAUUUUCAAAUCUAAUUCUCAACAGUGAAAGUGUUCAGAAAUAAUGCAGGAGCAGGUGACCACUGAGAUGUGACUAAAAUAAAGGAAAGUCUUGGUCUUUAUUGCCUUUCAUUGCACCAGGACGUCUACUAUAUUGUGAAAAAUUAAAUGGAAGGCCUGGCAAAUAUGUAAGAGUAAUAUACCUCCAGCUGCACCUAACAAGACUGUAAUAGCAUUAAGGACUCCUGAGGUCAUUACAAACUGCAGAUCCAGGGAUCCAUAGAUAUUUACUUUCAUGAGGGACACAGGACAAAAUUAUAUGUACUUUGACUAUAUGUAGACUUUGUAAAUAAAUAAUUAGUUACAGUCAAGAUUCUGACUUUGACAUAAGAAUCAUUAGGAAGUACAGUCUUUGUGAAAAGUUAAACAACAUAUGAUUUGCCCCAAAUACUUUAAGCCUCCAAACAAUGAGGAUUUUUUUUUUCCACUUUAAUAGAAACGCAUACCUCUUGUGAAUACUCUCAUCAUGUAUAUGCAAACAAAGGUUUAAAUACAUUUAAUGGGCCAGAAUUUGUCUCAAGGUCAGUUGUACCGAAAUUUGUCCCUAAAUAUACUUGUGUCUUCACUGUUUCUGGGUAACUGAAGACUUUUAUAGUUUCAAUGAUGUUGUGAGGGACUGCCAUAAGAAUGUCCAUGCAAGAACUUCAUAUGAAAACAGUAAAUAAAAGCAGCAUUUGUCACUGACCAGCCUGGAUCUCUGGGAGGAGUAUAAUAAAAUCAUAGCACAG